UCCCCUUAAUGUAUAUGUGUAUCUGUACAUAUUAUUCCUUGUUUAAAAUGGGAAUGAUGAUGUUUUACUCACUGACACCAAAACAAACAAGCUCAGUAAGCCUGCUUAUGAUAUGCUCGAUGAUUGCAAGAUAUGCAGCACCCAUUUCAUACAACUUUCUCAAUCUCAUUAAUCUUGGUGGGGGUAGAAAAACAAUUUUUGAACAAAAAAUGGGAAAGAUCAAUGACGCUGUUCCCUUUUUUGGAAAAGAAUUCAACAAAAUUUACCCCCUCAUCAUGGUUGUAUACACUUCACUAAUAGCAAGCAAUAUUUUUAACCGGGUCAUCAAGUAUUGUGGGAAUUGGAAAAUAUUCAAGUUCAAUGAUGAUGCAGAAGAUAUGGAUGGAUUUAACCCAUCCGGAGUAAUAA